rnacentral:lncRNA from 1 species
UCCGAUGAUUCGAGUUGAUCCGAUCAACGGAACAACCUGCUCCUGAAAUUAACCUGCAAGUGGCUGAGUACUCCACAGGCACGCGUACCCUUAACGUUGCUUUCAGGCAGAUUCAGCGUGACGCAGAAUGUGACAAGGCUGGCCCUUUUGAAUUACAUGUACUACUCAUUUUUAUCAGCUGAGUGAAUUCAAGCAACGUGAACUAAAGUGUCUUGCUCAAGGACACAACGCACCGCCGGAAAUCGAACUCACGACCUUACAAUCGUGAGCCGAAUACCCUAACCAUUAAACCACGCGUCUUCAUACUAAGUCCCAUACCUGUCUUAACUGAAACAAAAGAGCCUUGCCACUUCCUAGUGGCCAGCUUGAAUUCUCCAAAUGAAACAAAAAAAAAACUUAAGGAGUGGCUGUGUGGUAAGUAGCUUGCUAACCAACCACAUGGUUCCGGGUUCAGUCCCACUGCGUGGCAUCUUGGGCAAGUGUUUUCUGCUAUAGCCCCGGGCCGACCAAUGCCUUGUGGGUGGAUUUGGUAGACGGAAACUGAAAGAAGCCUGUCGUAUAUAUGUAUAUAUAUAUAUAUAUAUAUAUAUAUAUAUAUAUAUUUAUAUAUAUAUAGUGUGUGUGUAUAUGUUUGUGUGUCUGUGUUUGUCCCCCUAGCAUUGCUUGACAACCGAUGCUGGUGUGUUUAUGUCCCCGUCACUUAGCGGUUCGGCAAAAGAGACCGAUAGAAUAAGUACUAAAGGCGGUGCUCCAGCAUGGCCGCAGUCAAAUGACUGAAACAAGUAAAAGAGAAAAGAGAAAGAGAAAUCUCAAAUAAAACCAUAAAAGUUUCCAGACAUUCAAGUUUAUAAAAAUGAUUUCAUACAUUCACACACAUGCGCAUGUAUUUCAACUUCUUUAUAUAAAUUACAUGACUGUGGAACGGAAACAUAGUUAGUCAUAGCUUAAUUGAUAUAAGAUAUAAAUUAAACAUGUGUCUGACUGUCUGUGUGUAUUUAUACAAAUAUGGAGAAAUGCAACAAAAUCUUCCGAUGGGGAUUGUGCUGGUAUUUUUACUUAAAAGGAAAACGCAAAUAAAAUAUAUGACAAAACCAAUAUCUAUUGAAUCCACAGCAUAAUCAUGCGACAUUUGGAUUGUUGCGACACCGAAUUUCAAAACGUGAUCAAAAAAAAAAUGGUGUCCACGUAUAUAAUAUAAUAUUAUAUAUAUAUAUAUAUAUAUAUAUAUAUAUAUAUAUAUAUAUAUAUAUAUAGUAUAAAAUCCGUCCUGUCUGUCUGUGUAUGUGUCUUCUAGGAUCUCAGGUAUCUUCCAUCCGAUUGCGCUCAAAUUUGAUAUGUAGAUACCGACGGUAUCAGGGCGUGUAUAAGUCUUGAAAAUUUUGCAAAAAUCGAUUCCAGGGGAGAAUGCAAUCGAUAAAACCGUGGGAUCGUGCAUUUGUACGCGCAAGUACAUCAGCUGUUGCAAUCGAUACUACGCGUACGCGAGAAAAGUGCACGUGCAGUUUGCACAAAAAAAAGCCGGCUGGCUUGAAAUAAUGCCACAAAAUACCGUAUAUUUAAGAGACCAAAAAAGUAAGAUGCAAAAGAGAUAUUUUCUUCAAACUUGGCAUGAAGGAAGGAAAGACUAUUUGGUUUCUCAAGAAGUAUUGUUUUUCUUUUGCCUUAACUUCGUUUAACAAAACCAAAAAUUUUAUUAAAAUAAAGGCAUGCUUAAUUAUUUUUUAAGGGAAAAAAAAAUACUGAUUUCUUUUUAUUCAGCAGAUAUGAUUCAGCACCGUCCAUUGGACGGGGGGCGUUUUGCUCGUAUAUAUAUAUAUAUAUAUAUAUAUAUAUAUAUAUAUAUAUAUAUAUAUAUAUAUAUAUAUAUAUUUAUUUAUUUAUAUAUAAAAAAAUACAAAAUGGGACAAGAACGCAAAGCAUUCAAAUAGACGAUACAAAAAGCGGACGGGUCAUUCGAAGCCUCUAAUCUUCAGUCAAGAACCGGAUCAUCCUCGCAAUUUCGGCUGAUUAAUCUUGAUAUAUAUAUAUUGUAACUCAAUGAGCUGAAUGUAUGCUUGUGACAGUACAGAAAUACAUGAAUCAGUUCGUGUGUUUGUGCACACUUUGAUUUAUGUGAGUAUUACUGUUUUGCGUGUUUUUGUUCUCGGAAACUGCGUCAUUUCAAGAAAAGCGUAGAUACAAAUUGCAGAUUGUCUGCAUGUAUGUAUGUAUAUAUGUAUCUAUGUGUAUAUGUGUGCUUGCGCGCGUUUUGCUUCUCAACACUUAUGUACAUAUUUCUGUAUGCAUAUGUGUGAGUAGUACGUAAUACUGUGCAUGUGUGUGUGUGUGUUGUGAAUAACUUCUGUAAAAACUAUGUUAUUUUGUGUCUUCCCUGCGAAUGCACAACUUAAUCACAAAUAUAUGUAAAUACUUAUCUUCAUAUUUAUAUGCGUGUCUUCACGAAAAUACACACAAAACCCCAAAAUCUAUGCAUAUAGGAAUAUAUACUUAUAUGUGUGUGUCCGAGUGUAUAUGUGUGUGUAUACGUAUAGAUAUAAAAGUGUAUGAAAGUUACAAGUACGAAUAAACGAUAGCAUUUGCUAACAUACAUUUGCAGAUAUAUUUAAGCGUUAGUGCAAUAUCUAUUAAUACAUUCAUAUACAAACCUACAUGCAUGCAUGCUUACAUACAUACAUACAUACAUACAUACAUACAUACAUACAUACAUACAUACAUACAUACAUACAUACAUACAUACAUAAGAAUCAACGCAUAUGCUGGACUUCGAUAACCUCUCAGUAGGUCUAGCAUAUAGAUAAAAAUUGUACGAGCACUUUUAAUUCAGACAGACACACUAUUUAACCGACGAAUUUUUUCGAGCGUUCCAUAACACUGUCUGGAAUGAGCAUCAGGGUCAGACGGGCUAAAAGGUUAUCAAAUGCCAUUACUCUUCUCAUUAAAAAAAAAAUUUGAAGUCAAAUUGCCCAGCUAAAUUUUACCGCCCAAUAGACUGCCAGAGUACCAUAUAGAAGACAUACCGACAGCGAACAUUUCACCUCGAAAGCUGUCUCAAUACAGUAUGAGAGGGAAGAAAGCCUCACUAAAUAUCUUCUACAUAACACAUCGAUUGACAACUGUAGGCUAUGUAGAGACAUAACUGACGGACACUCCGUCUGUUACGACGACGAGGGUUCGAGUUGAUCCGAUCAACAGAACACCCUGCUCGCGAAAUUAACGCGCAAGUGGCUGAGCACUCCACAGACACGCGUACCCUUAACAUAGUUCUCAGGGAUAUUCGGGAUGAGACGGGGUAUGACAAGGCUGGCCUUUUGAAAUACAGGUACUACUCAUUUUUUUUCCACCUGAGUGGACUGGAUCAACGUGAAAUAAAGAGUCUUGCUCAAGGACACAACGCAACGCCGGAAAUUGAACUCACGACCUUACGAUUGUGAGCCGAAUACCCUAAGCACUAAGCCACGCGCUUUCGUUUAUGUCGAGACUUAAACGAAAACAUUAACCUCACAAUAAGUAAAUGUGAGAGAUAUUACCAUCUCAUGAUAGCCAGUACAAUCAAUCUACAACAGAGUGGGAAAGAAUUUUUAUUUUUCUAAUCCAGCAACAAGGUCAGCCAAUCUUUGAAGGAAGGGAGAAAGUCGAUACCAUCGUCUCUAGAGAAAUGAAAUACAAAGUUGAUGUAAGUGAAUAUUGAACUCAGAAGAUAACAGAUCGGAGUAAAUACUGCAAAACAUUUGUUUCUCAACGCUCUAACAUUUCUGUCCGUUCGCCGCCUUGUGAGAAAGGGCAAAAUCACAUAAGAACAAACACUACUAUAUAUAUAUAUAGUAGUGUUAUAUAUAUAUAUAUAUAUAUAUAUAUGUAUAUACUACAGACUUCUUCCAGUUUCCAUCUACCAAAUCCACUCACAAAGCUCUGGUCAGUCCGAGGCUAUAGUAGAAGAUGUCCAAGGUGCCACGCAGUGGGACUGAACCCGGAACCAUGUGGUUGGGAGCAAGCUUUUUUACCACACAGCCACUCCUGCGCCUACAUAUAUAUAUAUAAUAUAUAUAUAUAUAUAUAUAUAUAUAUAUAUAUAUAUAUAUAUAUAUAUAUACAUGUAUGUAUAUAUACGUCUAUAUAAAUAUAUAUAUGUAUAUACAUACACACAUACGCGUGUAUGUAUGCAUACAUACACCUACAUAUAUUAUUUGUGAGCAUGUGUGUCUGUGUUUGUGUGUGUGUGUGUGUCUAUGUGUGCUUGCGUGCGUGCGUGCGUGCGUGCGUGCGUGCGUGUAUUAGUUCGUUUGUCCGCCUCUCUAUAUUACACAUACUUUCUUGUCACGUUUUGAUGUUUCACUAUGGCUGCCUCGAGCAUCCAUUUUAUUUUUAUAGUUUCUCGAAUUAACGUCACCAAACCAGUCACCGUUGUUCUGUCGUCGAUCUUCGGAGACGCUGAGACAGUCACGUUCAUUCUUUUUGAUAAAUGUUAGGAAGAUUUAUAGAUAGAUAAGUGACAGUUAGGGAAGAUAGAUAAAUACAUAUACAUAAUACGUAUAAACACGAAGAUUGAGGUGGGACGGAAGAGAGAGUACAGAGAAAGAAGAAUGUAUAGUUAAGCUUAUUCAUAUAUGUACAUAUAUAUAUAUAUAGCCACGUCUAUAUUCGUUGCUUCUGAUUUUGUAAUCUAAUAGAUUAGAUUUUCUUGCGCUGGUAAAUUUUGCAUUGAAAUUGGAUUUCGUAUUGAAAAGGUAAGAAUUAAAUUUUAAAUUCUUCACAAAACUUUUCUAUUGGGAACACGUGAAACUAUAGGAAAACAACUAUUAUAUAUGUAUAUAUAUAUAUAUACGCGCGCGUGUAUGUGUGUGUUUAUAGAUAGAUAAUAAACAGACAAGUAGAUACUUCUAUAUACAAGCACACACACAUCUACAUACAUAUACACACACACACACACACACACAACCACACACGUAUACAUAUGUAUAUAUGCACACAUAUGCAUGUAAAUGUAUGUUAGAUAGAUAGAUAGAUAGAUAGAUAGAUAGAUAGAUAGAUAGAUAGAUAGAUAGAUAGAUAGAUAGAUAGAUAGAUAGAUAAGAAGAAGAAAAUUUUAAAACGAAAAAAAUAUUCUGGAUAAUUUGACAUUUGGGUUUUUAUUCUUAAUUUAUUUUCCUGUUCCUCGUUAUUUUCAUUUUAAUGCAAUUUUUUAAUCUCAUUUACUUCUCAUCUAAAUUUAUUUUUGCGGAAAACGAAGAGUGGGGUAAAUAUAAUGAAUUUUAAAACAACUGCUUCAAACUUUUACACUAGGUGACGCAUGUUUGGUUUAGUGGGAGUAGGCGGCACACAUCUACUGGACUAAUCUUUCGGGAACCCAGACUGAUGAAGGGCAAUUUAAUAGUUCAUCGCAGUUUAGAACCAAGAUAACAAAACGUAAAUAUUUACGGUCGCAGGGACGGCAGUAUUGUAAAAGCACUCGCUUUGCAACCAUGUGGUCUUGGGUUCAGUCCUACUGUGCAACAUCUUGGGGAAGUGUUCUUCCACUAUAGCUCUGGGCUGACCAAUUCCCUGUGAGUGGAAUUUUGUAGUUUGAAAAGACGGAAAAUAUGUAGAAGCCCGUCGUGUGUGUGUGUGUGUGUGUGUGUGUGUGUGUGUGUGUGUGUGUGUGUCUGCGUAUAUCGUGCCUGUGUUUGUCCUUUGCCAAUGCUCAACAACCGGUGUUGGUUUGUUUACGCUCCCGUAACUUAACAGUUGGCAAAACUAACGAUACAUUAAGUACCAGACUCUUUAAAGCGAUGCCCCAGCAUGACCGAAGUGCAAUGACUAAAACAAAUAAAACAUUUGGCAUUAUUGUUUUCUAUUCCUAGACUUUAUCAGCUCCUGCUCUUUGACUCACAAAUUCAUAAAUUAGGCGUGUCACUCUUAUGAAUUAUGAUUUCACUUACAUAUCUGCAAUCAUAACUGGAUACAAAGCAGGUUUAUAUGUCCGAUAUUUACACUGUGUUAUUUAAGCACAAACACGCACACACACACACACACACACACACGCACACACACACACACACAUAAUCAACACAUUUCACAUACGCGCGCGCACACAUUAUUUGCUGAGUCCGCUGAGACGAUCCAAUUUACACCAUGGUUUCACUCAGAUAUUUGCAAUCAUCAGCGGACACAAGCGGGUAUAUUUGCACGGUACUUGCAUUGUAUAAGUUAAAUGAUCGUUAAGUGUUUACUUGCCUUCUAACCAUGAAACUAGAAGCAGCAUUUAACCAUGGCAUGUAUACAUACAUACACAUAUACAUACAUACAUACACACACACACACACACAUAUAUAUAUAUAUAUAUAUUCAACACUACACAUAUCACAUGCACGCGCGUGCACAUAUUAUUUGCUGAGUCUGGUAGUGGGCUGGGACAGUGGCCACGACUUUCGCAGGCCCUCCGAGCCCGAUGAAGUUGAUGCUAUUAAUGGGUCGUUUAAAACGCUGUACUUCAGCACCUGCAUGAACAUCACAGGCUGGAAGAAAAUUUCGAAGUACUGAUGUUCUAGCGAAGAAUGAUUGGGUGUAGUGGCUGGGGAGUGGGUUUGGAGGAGGUAACAAAGAUGACGAGAGUUGAACAGAGACGGGUGAUUUGGAGUGUUUGACUAAUCGAGGUACGAGGCCAGCCAGCCAGCUCCGAGGAACAGUGACCAUUAUAGCAACGAUAAAAUAGACAAGGAGAGGAGACAGCACUCAUGUGAGCCAGAGACUAGAGUGUCUCCGUUAGUCAUCCUUCCAAUUAGUCGAGUGGCCCUUGGAUUAAUGUGCGUGUAUAUAUAUAUAUAUAUAUAUACGCAUAUUAUAUAUAUAUUGAAGGAUGACUAACGGAGACAUUAAUAUAUAUAUAUAUAUAUAUAUAUGGAAGGAUGACUAUAAUAUAUAUAUAUAUAUAUAUAUAUAUAUAUAUAUAUAUAUAUGUAUGUAUGUCUCGGGAUCUUUCCUUCUCCUUGUUUCCGACGAAGAGCUCCGCUCGAAACGUUAAACCCUCCUUCCCUUCUUUCCUGAGCGUCAAAUAAUACUUUAAUUGUUCCACGUCCUCGCGUUGCUGUGUUUUUUUCUGUGUUUUCUUGUUUGGAUUAACUAUAUGUAUAUAUAAGUUGAAUAGAGUUACAACAUGGUCUGGUUUUCGCGUUUUUAUUAUUGUAUUUAAACAAAAUUCUUUUACAAUUUUGAAGUGUGUUAAACAUUUAAAAAAUAUUUUGUGAUGUUCAUAAAGUUCAGUUAGCGCUUUCACACAUUUGUAGCAAUCAUCAGAUUUCAAAAUAUAUUAGCUGACAGUUGAGUUGAGUGCUUGACAACUAUGGUGUAAUGACUAACUUCCUUUUUAUGCCCUUUAGAAGCCUCCGACAAGCUGAAUUUUUUCGAAUACGGUUUUGACCAAUCAGCAUGCUACUUAAAUGUCACGGUUUGCCGGGUGCACUGAUAUUAUUGGCAUAGAUCCCGCCUUUAUUUUAACCAAUUAUCUUUCGGUUUACAUGUAAUGGUUUUAUGAGUGAUCAAACUUGGUUGUAUGUAUGUAUGUAGGUAUAAGCGCAUAUCAUGUAUAUUCAAGGUGGACCAAAAGUCACGCACAAAAACAUGACAUUUUAUUUAUAUUGAGGUAUUACUGUUAUUAUUAUUAUUAUUAUUAUUAUUAUUAUUAUUAUUAAUUAAUUAAUUAAUUAAUUAAUUAAUUAAAUCAUUUAUUUAAGUCAGUUUUAGAAAAUUGAAACGUCUUCGACAAUUACGGAACGUAUUGAGCUUACUUUAUGCUUGACUUUUUCCUACCUUGUAUAUAUCUAUUAAUUACCUUUUGUAUAAUAUUGAUUUCAUUUUCUUUCUUUCUUUUGUUUUGCUUGACCACUUCUAUUUGAAAGCUUCUAAACAUCAUAUGUUAAGAAAAUGAAGCUACUACCAUUGUCUGACAGCAAGUCAAAUUUACUCAAUGCAUAUCACAUAAAUCUUCCACCACCUUUUAACGUUUUAUUGAAAUUAUCAUGUCUAAAUAUUUACAAAGCUAUGUAUUUCGCUCUGUUUGAAUAACUUGGAGCGGUGAAAACGAAAUACAUACAUAAAUACAUGCAUGUCAGGUCGUUCUUAGUGCUACUGGUAACAUGUAACCCAGUACAACCCGUCGCAUGAUCAAACCGUCAGCAAAUGUUACGGGAGAAUUCUGAACCCUUCACGUGACUGAAGGUGGACCAAUCGAUUACGAUAAAUAAGAGCUGGGUGAACUGUCAACGAGGGUAGUUGACGGUGUUUGUUCAACCGUUUUGGUUUACCGUGUUAGUUUACCGCGUUGCAGCCAUCAUGUAUGUAUGUAUUAUGUAUGUAUGUAUGCAUGUAUGGAUGUAUGUAUGUAUGUAUAUACAUACAUAUCUGUGUUUUUGUCUUUAUGUCUCCUCCCCCCACAUACACAUACAUUACUUGACAACCGGUAUUGUUUGCUUACUUUCACUAACUUAACGGUUCGUCAAAAUACACCGAUAGUCUAAGUACCAAAUUUCAAAAAAUUAAUACUAAGGUCGAUUUGUUCGACUAAAACCCCUUAAAAGUGGUGCCCCAGUAUGGCCGCAGUCCAAUGACUGAAACAAGUGAAAGAUAAAAGAUUGUUUUUUUCCUUGUUGGUGUCGUAAUUUAGUUUGUUAUUGAUGAUUUUUCCGUAAAUGAGACUAAAUUAUUAUGGAGGGUCUUUUCGUUUUAAAUCUUUAUAUACAGCGUAUGUGUGUGUGUGUGUUUGUGUAAUUUACAGUGGAAUAUUAAUUUUAACAUUUUUUAUUAAAUUAAAUUUCAAAUAUUUUCCAGUUUAUCAAAUAAUUAUAUUAGCAGCAUUUAAUUUCUUCUUCUUCUUCUUCUUCUUCUUCUACUACUUCUUCUUCUUCUACUACUACUACUACUACUACUACUACUACUACUACUACUACUACUACUACUACUGCUGCUGCUGCUGCUGCUGCUACUACUACUGCUGCUGCUGCUGCUACUUUUCUUUUUCUUCAUCUUUUAUUGUUAUUGUUGUUGUCAUUUUGCUUUUUGUCAUUCAUUUUCUUGAGUCAGUCAGUCAUUCAUUCAUUUUCUUUCUUUCUUUCUCUCAUUCUAUUUGCCAGGUGUUCCUUUGUCUUCCUUCCCAGAAUGCUUCAGCUGCACUACUGGCCAAUGCACAACUCGACAAUAUAGAUCUACGCAACCGGUCCCUCACAGCUCUUCGUAUUCACACAGCCAAUGAUAAACAGAAUAUAUGUAUAUAUGUGUAUACAUAUAUACAUGUGUGUGCGUGUAUGUAUGUAUAUGUAUUUAUAUACACGUAUAUAAAUAAAUAAAUAUAUAUUACAUGUCUACAUAUACGUAUAUAUAUAUAUUUAUAUAUUUAUAUUAUAUCAUAUGAAACGACAUGAAGACCCUCCAACGGCUCCUAACAUUGGUUGCGUUAUCGUUCGUCUUAACUGUCGUGCUGUUAAAUACAGCCCUAGUCAGUCGACUUUUCUCCAUGUCUUCCACUGAUUACUUGGGGACAGAUAUGGACGCAGCUGGCGACAAAGAGGCUGCAUACUACCUAAUUCGCGAGGGCCAGGCCGUCAGCGACCCCUAUCGCAUAGAUUACUCUAACACCAGAGCCGGAGCAAACCGAGCUCAUUUGCAUUUGCUCCGAAAGAACCUCAACAAAAGUAACGCCAGUAGCGGCGGCGGAGGAGGAGGAGGUGGUGGUGGUGGUGUUUGUAUCGGUGGCGGUGGUGGCCAUGACGCUGCUGUUGGUGGUGGUGG